UACGUAGGGUGCAAGCGUUAAUCGGAAUUACUGGGCGUAAAGCGUGCGCAGGCGGUUUUGUAAGUCUGUCGUGAAAUCCCCGGGCUCAACCUGGGAAUGGCGAUGGAGACUGCAAGGCUAGAAUCUGGCAGAGGGGGGUAGAAUUCCACGUGUAGCAGUGAAAUGCGUAGAGAUGUGGAGGAAUACCGAUGGCGAAGGCAGCCCCCUGGGAUAACACUGACGCUCAUGCACGAAAGCGUGGGGAGCAAACAGG
rnacentral:rRNA from 1 species